UCUUUCGUAGUAUAGUGGUCAGUAUACGAGCUUGUCAAAAUUGGUAGCUACUUCAGUUACCAGCUUAACAACGCUCGGGACCCGGGUUCAAUUCCCGGCGAAAGAG